UAGGGAAUCUUCGGCAAUGGGGGGAACCCUGACCGAGCAACGCCGCGUGAGUGAAGAAGGUUUUCGGAUCGUAAAGCUCUGUUGUUAAGGAAGAACGAGUGUGAGAAUGGAAAGUUCAUGCUGUGACGGUACUUAACCAGAAAGGGACGGCUAACUACGUGCCAGCAGCCGCGGUAAUACGUAGGUGGCAAGCGUUGUCCGGAUUUAUUGGGCGUAAAGCGAGCGCAGGCGGUCAAUUAAGUCUGAUGUGAAAGCCCCCGGCUCAACCGGGGAGGGUCAUUGGAAACUGGUUGACUUGAGGGCAGAAGAGGAGAGUGGAAUUCCAUGUGUAGCGGUGAAAUGCGUAGAUAUAUGGAGGAACACCAGUGGCGAAGGCGACUCUCUGGUCUGUAACUGACGCUGAGGCUCGAAAGCGUGGGUAGCAAACAGG
rnacentral:rRNA from 1 species